GGGGAUAUGGCGGAAUGGUAGACGCAGCGGACUCAAAAUCCGUUGGUUUCGACCGUGAGGGUUCGAGUCCCUCUAUCCCCA
rnacentral:tRNA from 1 species